CACCGCGGUUAUACGAGAGACCCAAAUUGAUAACCUCCGGCGUAAAGCAUGAUUAAGGACAGAACUAAAUAAAGCCCAACUUAUCCCCUGCUGUUAUAAGCCUCCGGAAAAUGAAAACCCACCACGAAAGUAGCUUCAACCACACCUGAAUUCAUGAUAGCUAAGAAA
rnacentral:rRNA from 1 species